rnacentral:rRNA from 1 species
UACAGAGGGUGCGAGCGUUAAUCGGAUUUACUGGGCGUAAAGGGCGCGUAGGCGGUUAUAUGAGUGGGAUGUGAAAGCCCUGGGCUUAACCUAGGAAGUGCAUCGCAAACGAUAUGACUGGAGUACUAGAGAGGGUAGCGGAAUUUCCGGUGUAGCGGUGAAAUGCGUAGAGAUCGGAAGGAACGUCAAUGGCGAAGGCAGCUGCCUGGAUAGAUACUGACGCUGAGGCGCGAGAGCGUGGGGAGCAAACAGG